CUGUGAGGAAGCGCAGAGGACAUCUCCUGUGCACGGAAUGGGAGCCUGCAAACAGAUAUCCACGGAGACUUAGGUUUCCUUGAAAAUCAACCAAGACGGCACAGGCUCGGACAAUGGCCCCGGGAUUCACUAUUCCAAUGGCUUGCUGGUUUCCAUAGACUUUUCCCCCUGCAAUUAGCCACACCUUCUUGAGCCAGAGAGUGAUUCUCCGCCUCUGGUUAUCGGAGCGGUAUUUGCUUUGUAGUUGGGGAGGACACCCACAUCUUUUUAUUCUCCAGCAGAGUCACUCGGUGUGUGAAGAGCUGAGAGCUGGUGCGGCCCCAGUGUGCUGUCUCGCACGCACCCUUCUGUCUGUGGAGGAAUCUAGUGUGGUCCCAUCCAUGCGGCAGCUGCUGAACGGGAUGUCACUCAAGGAAGCAAAAAGCCCUCUCCAGAAGCACUUAGGGGAUGCGGGAGAAUAUGUGAUUUACCAAACAGAGGACUGUUAUUCAUCACGACUCACACUGUCCAUGCCUAAGAGUGCGGCAGAAAAUCAGCAACAGAUUGGAAAAGAUGUGGAAAUAUCAUCUGCAGAAACACACCCAGAACCAAGAG
rnacentral:lncRNA from 1 species